rnacentral:rRNA from 1 species
GACGAACGCUGGCGGCGUGCUUAACACAUGCAAGUCGAACGGAAAGGCCCUGCUUUUGUGGGGUGCUCGAGUGGCGAACGGGUGAGUAACCCGUGAGUUACCUGCCCUUGACUUUGGGAUAACUUCAGGAAACUGGGGCUAAUACCGGAUAGGAGCUCCUGCUGCAUGGUGGGGGUUGGAAAGUUUCGGCGGUUGGGGAUGGACUCGCGGCUUAUCAGCUUGUUGGUGGGGUAGUGGCUUACCAAGGCGUUGACGGGUAGCCGGCCUGAGAGGGUGACCGGCCACAUUGGGACUGAGAUACGGCCCAGACUCCGACGGGAGGCAGCAGUGGGGAAUAGUGCACAAUGGGCGGAAGGCUGAUGCAGCAACGCCGCGUGCGGGAUGACGGCCUUCGGGUUGUAAACCGCGUUCGCCUGUGACGAAGCGUGAGUGACGGUAAUGGGUAAAGAAGCACCGGCUAACUACGUG